UACGUAGGGGGCAAGCGUUGUCCGGAAUCAUUGGGCGUAAAGCGCGCGUAGGCGGCCCGGUAAGUCCGUUGUGAAAGUCAAAGGCUCAACCUUUGAACGCCGAUGGAUACUGCCGGGCUAGAGUCCGGAAGAGGCGAGUGGAAUUCCUGGUGUAGCGGUGGAAUGCGCAGAUAUCAGGAGGAACACCAAUAGCGAAGGCAGCUCGCUGGGACGGUACUGACACUAAGGCGCGAAAGCGUGGGGAGCGAACAGG
rnacentral:rRNA from 1 species